GCUUUCUGGGAAGUCCUGGGAUCUCUUCGUUGUGCUCUCCAAGCUUGGGGGGCCCAGCGCCUGGUGUGUCCAGGUUGUAUGGCGUUUCUGCCUGGUUUUGAAAUGAUGGCUUGCAGUGAUACUAUUUCACACCUUUCUGUGUGCUUGGUGAAAGUCACUUCAAUAUCUGGGACAUUUUGGAAAUUAAAUAAGAGAGCUUUUGAAAAUUCGACACUCACGCAGCCAUUUAAAGUAGCCAGAGCUGGAGUUCCAAGACGGCGAUCGUGAUGACCAGUAUGCACCGUAUCUAAGGUGCAGAAGAUUAGAGACUCUGAAACCGGUGAGUAAACGGGCGGCUGGACCCGAAACGCUGACUUUGGUGCUUUCAGGACCAGGGCACAUCCAAGGAGUUAGAGACAAUCGGGUCCAGGCACCCCGUGGCUGUCUCUUAGUUCCAGGAGUCAUGGACUGUGAGCCCCCUCCCCUUUCCGCAUACUCCAGAGAGUACAGGCCCCCAGAACCAGCGACCCUCCACACCAGCAGCCAGAAAUCAGAUUCCUUCUGCUCUCUUGAGGGCAGCGUCUGGAUUCCUGGGACAGCAUCCCAACCUCUAAAACCAAGGUUCUACUGGAUCCCCUGUGGAGACCAAGUGGACAAUAAAAUCUUACUGAUCCCAGAUCCAAGAUGGCAGAGCCCAGACAAAUCUGAAUCCCAGGAGUGCAGUGUCUGAUAGGCCUGUGAGCUGCAGCUCAGCUGCCUCCUGAGGCACCACAUCCCCUUUGAUUGCUACAUGAGGUAGACCUCACCCUUGCAGCUUUCACCUGAGGCACAUGUGCCCCUCAGAUACCACCCGAAGCAACACAUGCUGAAGAGGAGCCCUCCUCCAUCGCUGGUGGGAGUGCUGACUUGUACAACCACUUUGGAAAUCAAUCUGCAAUUUCUCAGGAAACUCAGGAAUAGCCAUACCUCAAGACCCAGCUAUACCACUCAUGCCCAAAAGAGGCCUCACCGUUCAACAAGGACAUUUACUCAGCCAUGUUCAUAGCAGAUUUAUUCAUAAUAGCUGAAUGUAUAUAAGUUCAGAAUUGAUGCUGGCUUUGUCUUUCUGAAUAUGAAGUUUAUUCUUAAACUGGAAACAACCUAGAUGUCCCUCAACCAAAGAAUGGAUAAAGAAACUAUGGUACAUUUACACAAUGGAAUACUACUCAGCCUUUAAAAACAAGGAAAUCAUUAAAUUUGCGGGCAAAGGAUGGAACUAGAAGAGAUCAUCUGAGUGAGGUGACACUCAUUGUAUAUACUCAUUUAUAAGUGGACUUUGGUUAUAUAGUACAGGAUAGAUAUACUACAAUACACAGAUCCUAAGAAGAUGAGUCCGAUGGUCAUCUUAGGCUUCAUGUCUCUGA